GCGGACUGCUUAGGAGGCCAACGACCUUCCUAAGGGUGGGCAGUCAGGGAAGGGCCAACAGCAUGCCCGCUGUGUCCUCAGGCGGGCCCUCCCUCCCUGGGACCCUCCCAGUGCCAGCCUCCUGCCUGGGCCAGGCUGGGAGCUCCCUGACUGCUCUGGUCCCUGGGCUGCUCCCACGAGCCUGACUCUGACGGUGUCUGCUGCACAUCAUCCGCGGAGUCCCGAGUUUCGGCCACUGCGGUCGUCCCCAUUUCACAGCCAGGAAACAGAGGACAGGGGAAGUCAACUGGAGGUCACGCGGUGAUACUUCACUCUCCCCUCCCCCGACUCCUCCUCCUGGGCCAUUUCCCAGAAGCGCUCAUCCCCAUGCCCACACGAACACAAACCUCCACGCAGCACUGACCAAGAGCCAGGCCCUACCCCAGGACCUCACAGAUGUCACCUUCGCGGUCCUUUCAGCAACCGAAUGAGGUAGGCCUAUCAUUAUCCCCUCUUCACAGAUGGGGAAACCGAGGCACGGAGCUGUGAAGUGACUUGCCCAAGGCCCCACCGGCAGCCAGUGGCAGAGCCAGGUGCCCCCCAAGAUGUUCACGCCCUAAUCCUCAGGAUCUGCAGACAUGUCACCUUUCAUGGCAAAAGGUCUUUGCAAAUGUGAUGAAACAUCUGAAGAUGGCAAGAUUCUCUUAGGUGAUCUCAGUGGGUCCCAGAGGGGGAACGAUGAAUUGACAGUCUCCCAGCCUGUCUUCCCCACCAGCCAUCCAAGAACCCUGCCUGCCAGGAUGCUGGUCCUGUGUCUGCCUGCCCCACGCCACCGUCACCUUGCAGAGAAACACUGAUUGCCUUCACACAUCUGGCUCCAGCCAACUCCCUCCUCUGCACACCUUGAGGCUCCCAGGCAGAGAGGAGGCUCUUCCCCAGGCCGGGGGCCCCCCUGGGAGGGUGUCCAAUGUCAUGCCAGCCAAGGCCCGUGUGGGCGUAGCUCCUGCAGGUUCUCAAGGUUGUAGCCCGCACCCUGCUCCUUGGUUUUGUGAAAGAUCAAAAUCAGGGCCUCACAUAGAACUUUAUAUUCCAACGCUGCAAGUCUCAACACAAACCAAUGUGUUGACUUGAAAAUAAAUAUCACUAAUAAAAUGGAGAAGAGAGCUGGCAUGGAAAGAUUGGGAAAAUGUCAAGAAUUCUUGGUGCUGUAUGUUUAUCAGUAAAUAAAGCACAUCUGAGGGGUGAGGGGUCGGCCCUUGGACCUUGGGCUCUUACAGAUGGGUGCCAUUUUCAACAGCUUUGGAGACAAACAUGGUGUUUGCCAAUAUCUUGGUUUUGCCAAGUCAAAGCUAACCAAUAUCAGCACUUCAUCUAAGCAAUUCCCACUAAGGAAAGGUAUUUUCAACAACAACAAAAGAAUAUAAAGGAUAUAGUCUUGGGAAGGAAAAGGAUAUUUGUCUUGUUUUUCUUUGAGAAAAGAAAUGAGCCUCUCAAUGUUGCCCAGGCUGGAGUGCAGUGGUGCAAUCACAGCUCGUUGUAGCCUUGACCUCCCAGGCCCAAGUGAUCUUCACACCUCAGCCUCCUGAGUAGCUGGGACCACAGGCACGUGCUACCAUGCUUGGCUAAUUUUUUUUUUUUUUACUUUUUGUAGAGACGGGGUCUCAUUAUGUUGCCCAGGCUGGUCUCAAACUCCU
rnacentral:lncRNA from 1 species